rnacentral:sRNA from 1 species
GCCAGGUGUGGUAGUGCAUGCCUGUAAACCCAGCCACCCAGGAGGCUGAGGCAGGAGGAUCAUAAGUUCAAGGCCAGUCUUGGCAAUUUAGUGAGAUCCUGUCUCAA